rnacentral:rRNA from 1 species
GGUUAAAAAGCUCGUAGUUGGAUCUCGGCGGGCAGGGGGUGGUUCGCUCUUCAGCGCUACUGCCCCGCUUUGCCCGUGUGAUUGGCGGAGGUUUCGGGGUGCUCUUCGUUGAGUGACUCGGAGCGCCGUCAGGUUUACUUUGAAAAAAUUAGAGUGCUCAAAGCAGGCUUUUCACGCUUGAAUAUUCGUGCAUGGAAUAAUGGAAUAGGAACUCGUUUCUAUUUUGUUGGGUUUCGGAAAUCGAGUUAAUGAUUAACAGGGACAAUUGGGGGCAUUAGUAUUCAGACGACAGAGGUGAAAUUCUUGGACCGUCUGAAGACUGACUACUGCGAAAGCAUUUGCCAAGAGUGUUUUCAUUAAUCAAGAACGAAAGUUAGAGGUUCGAAGGCGAUCAGAUACCGCCCUAGUUCUAACCAUAAACGAUGCCAGCUAGCGAUCUGCCGAGUUUUUUUUGUAGGCUCCGCAGGAAGCUUUCGGGAAACCAAAGCUUUUGGGUUCCGGGGGAAGUAUGGUUGCAAAGCUGAAACUUAAAGGAAUUGACGGAAGGGCACCACCAGGAGUGGAGCCUGCGGCUUAAUUUGACUCAACACGGGAAAUCUCACCAGGCCCGGACACUGGAAGGAUUGACCGAUUGAGUGCUCUUUCUCGAUUCGGUGG